GACUGGCCCACACGUUACAAUAUAAUAAAGUGGACCUGUGAAGGUUUAAAUUUCCUUCAUGGGGGAUGUGGAUCAAGCGUUCUUCACCUGGAUUUAAAACCUGCGAACAUAUUACUGGAUAAGAACAUGGGGGCAAAAGUUGCAGAUUUCGGGUUGUCAAGGUUCUUCAGUAAAACACAUACCCAUAUCACAAAUACAACUAUAGGAACAGAGUAA
rnacentral:rRNA from 1 species